AGAUCGUAUUGAGGGCAUUUUCGUAACAUCCCUUUGUAUCGCUCCCAUGCUUCAUACAUUGACUCCUCAUCUUCAUGUUGGAAGUUUAGAAUGUUCUUUUUGAGCUU